UACGGGGGGGGCAAGCGUUGUUCGGAAUUACUGGGCGUAAAGGGCUCGUAGGCGGCCAACUCAGUCGGACGUGAAAUCCCUCGGCUUAACCGGGGAACUGCGUCCGAUACUGGAUGGCUUGAGUGUGGGAGAGGGAUGCGGAAUUCCAGGUGUAGCGGUGAAAUGCGUAGAUAUCUGGAGGAACACCGGUGGCGAAGGCGGCAUCCUGGACUACUACUGACGCUGAGGAGCGAAAGCCAGGGGAGCAAACGGG
rnacentral:rRNA from 1 species